UUGACCUCGAAUCAGGUAGGGAUACCCGCUGAACUUAAGCAUAUCAAUAAGCGGAGGAAAAGAAACCAACCGGGAUUACCUCAGUAACGGCGAGUGAAGCGGUAACAGCUCAAAUUUGAAAUCUGGCUCCUGCGGAGUCCGAGUUGUAAUUUGUAGAAGAUGCUUUGGGAGGUAGGCUCGGCCUAAGUUCCUUGGAACAGGACAUCAGAGAGGGUGAGAAUCCCGUAUGUGGCCGUGGCCUACGCCCGUGUAAAGCUCUUUCGACGAGUCGAGUUGUUUGGGAAUGCAGCUCAAAAUGGGUGGUAAAUUUCAUCUAAAGCUAAAUAUUGGCCAGAGACCGAUAGCGCACAAGUAGAGUGAUCGAAAGAUGAAAAGCACUUUGGAAAGAGAGUUAAACAGUACGUGAAAUUGUUGAAAGGGAAGCGCUUGCACCCAGACUUGGGCGUCGUCGAUCAUCCGAGGUUCUCCUCGGUGCACUCGGCGAGGCACAGGCCAGCAUCGGUUUGGAUGGUUGGAGAAAGGCUCUAGGAACGUAGCUCUCUUCGGGGAGUGUUAUAGCCUAGGGCGUAAUGCAGCCCAUCUGGACCGAGGACCGCGCCUUCGGGCUAGGAUGCUGGCGUAAUGGUUGCAAGCGACCCGUCUUGAAACACGGACCAAGGAGUCUAACAUCUAUGCGAGUGUUUGGGCGUUAAACCCAUACGCGGAAUGAAAGUGAACGCAGGU
rnacentral:rRNA from 2 species